rnacentral:rRNA from 1 species
AUGGGCACUUGUGUGAGCACAUGCUACCCCUGCUCGUCCUCCCCACCCACCGCCGGCGACGACCACCCAUUGUCCUCGUCCGGCGGCUCUCCGACUCCGGGCGCCACCACCGUGCAUCCGCUCCCGCUCGCUUCCGGUUCUCCCGCGCCCGCCGCUUCCUCCACAUCAACCUCCUCCUCCUCCUUCUCCUCGAUGUCGGCCGCAAGCUCAUCCAUCUCCAUGGCCAACACCACCACCACCACCUCCUCCUCCUCGGCUACCACUAGUUAUUCCUCGCCGUCGUUGUCGUCGGAGCCCCGCUUCUCGGCCGAGUUCCUCAAGGCGCGCGCUUGCAAGGACACAGACGUGGAGAUGGAGGUCGUGGUGCUCGACCCCAACAUCAGCAGCAAUGGAAAGAAGAGGAAGAAGCUCUCCCCUGCCUCCGCCGCUCCGCGUCCGUCCUCGCCAAGAACGCCUCCAGCUCUGUCCGUGGGCAAGUCACCAAGGAAGAACAAGCCUGGCAUUGGCAACAUCAACGGCCGCCGCGCAAGCAACAUGAUUUGGAUGAUGAAAAGCUGA